rnacentral:rRNA from 1 species
AUGGCGCCCACGUGGGUUGUGAGCAACUUGGCAAGUCAAACAAUAGCCGACGACUUUAGCUCCUACAACCACACAUGGUGGAGCAGAGUUGGCGGGAGGGAGGCGGAACCCAAGGUCGAAGAGGACGACCAAGAGCAGCUGAGCUUUGUCUUCUCCUCCGAAUCCAGCAUUCCAGCAAUGGACGGCUCGAGGGGCCCCGCCGGCUUCGCCACGCAGGCCAACGCCCUCCUCCGCAAGAACCUCUGCUUCCAGAAGCGGAACGUGAAGACGAACGUCUGCAUCACCGUCUUCCCGACCCUACUCUGCGUGCUGCUGCUGGUGAUGCAGGGCGUCAUCAACCGCGAGAUCGGCAAGCCGGAGUACCGCUGCGGCUGCGCGUGCGUCGACACGGCCGCCGACGGGAGCUGCCGGAGGACCGAGUGCGGCGUCCAGUACUCCACGCAGGACCAGGUCGCCACCUGCCCGGUCCCCAGCCCGCCGCGGUGGCCGGCCGUGCUCCAGCUGCCCCCGCCCGAGUCCAGGGCCGUCGGGACCGCCUCCCAGCCGCUCGACGGUUUGCCUAGCCCGGCUUGCCGGGACACCCGCUCUUGCCCCGCCGCGUUCCUCGUCACCGGAAGCAACCGCUCGCUCGCCCAAAGUCUUUCGGGUCAACUGUUCCCUGCUCUGACUUCGCCUUUGAAUUUCACUGACUAUCUACAUACACUCUCCAAGAUUGUUCCUGGCUCUGAAGUGCCGGCGUCGUUUAGACAGUUUUUAGAGCCAGCGUUUACUCCAGGGAAUACUCUGUAUAUUGUUCAACCUCGGUGUAGGUCCAAUUUCUCGCAAACAGUUUCAGUCGAUGCUGGGCCGAAACCCCUUAAACUCAAUGUAGACUGCAUUCAAGGUUUAUCGUUAUGGCGUGAAAGCGCAUCAGUUAUCAAUGACGAACUAUUUAAGGGUUAUAGGCAACAAAGAGAAAGUGGAGGAGGGAAGGCGAAUGAGUUUGCUGCAGGUUACGACUUCCUGAGUACAAAUACAGAUAGUCUUGAUAUUAGUAUUUGGUUCAACUCUACAUAUAACAACAAUACCGGAGUUUUUGAAAUGGCAUUAUUACGAGUACCACGCUUGGUUAACAUGGUGUCCAACGCAUACAUCAAGUUUCUCAGAGGAAGUGGAGCAGAAAUGCUGCUUGAAUAUGUUAAAGAUAUGCCUAAAGUAGGAUCAGAACUUAAACUUGACCUGUCUUCUCUUCUUGGUGCGCUAUUCUUCACAUGGAUCAUUGAGCUACUGUUUCCAGUUAUACUAACAUAUCUCGUGUAUGAGAAGCAACAAAAGCUGAAAAUUAUGAUGAAGAUGCAUGGUUUGAAGGCCGGUCCUUACUGGAUGAUAACUUAUACUUACUUCUUUGCUCUAUCAGCUCUCUAUAUGAUACUAUUUGUCACUUUUGGCUCCUUGAUAGGUCUGGGUUUCUUUACAACAAAUAAUUACAGCCUUCAGAUUGUUUUCUACUUCAUCUACAUAAAUCUGCAGAUUGCUCUCGCAUUUUUCGCAGCAUCGUUCUUUUCUUCUGUCAAAAUAGCCACAGUGGUUGGUUACAUCUAUGUAUUUGGUUCUGGUUUACUAGGGGCAUUUCUUCUGCGCUUUUUUAUCCAGGAUAAUAGUUUCCCGAAGGGUUGGAUAGUGGUGAUGGAGAUUAUCCCUGGAUUUUCACUUUACAGAGGGUUAUACGAGCUUGGUCAAUAUGCAUUCAUUGGAACUGCAAUGGGAACCGAUGGUAUGACGUGGACUAGUUUGAGUGACCCUGUCAAUGGAAUGCGUACUGUAUUGAUUAUCAUGGUUGUUGAAUGGGCAAUACUUCUCCCAUUGGCAUUUUAUUUGGAUCAAGUCUCAUUACUGGGUGGUGGACUCCGAAAAAGGUUGUUAAUCUUGUUGAAAUGCUUUAAGAAGCGAGCUGCAUCAUUACGGAUGUAUAGCUUUGGUCGGAUAGGAUCUAAAGUAAUAGUUGAAAUGGAGAACCCCGACGCGACUCAGGAAAGAGAGGCCGUUGAGCAGCUUCUGCUGGAACCCAAUGCAAAUUAUGCUAUUAUAUGUGAUAACCUAAAGAAGGUUUACCAUGGAAGGGAUGGAAAUCCUGACAAGCUUGCAGUUCGUGGGUUGUCUCUUGCCCUCCCGAAAGGCCAAUGUUUUGGGAUGCUUGGCCCAAAUGGGGCUGGGAAAACAUCCUUCAUUAGUAUGAUGAUUGGGCUCGUUCCACCUACGUCUGGCACUGCUUAUGUCCAUGGAAUGGAUAUACGUACUGAUAUGAACGAAAUAUACACAAAUAUGGGUGUCUGCCCACAACAUGACUUACUUUGGGAAACAUUGACGGGAAAAGAGCAUCUGUUGUUUUAUGGAAGACUAAAAAAUCUUAAAGGCGCUGAAUUGCUGAAGGCAACUGAUGAUUCUCUGAAGAGUGUUAACCUAUUCCGUGGUGGUGUCGGUCAUAAGCAAGUGGGGAAGUACAGUGGGGGCAUGAAACGGAGGCUUAGUGUCGCAAUCUCCUUAAUUGGAGAUCCCAAGGUUGUCUUCAUGGAUGAGCCGAGCACUGGACUAGAUCCAGCAUCAAGAAAUAGCCUGUGGAGUGUUGUGAAGGAAGCGAAGAAAAACCGUGCCAUCAUUCUUACAACACAUUCAAUGGAAGAGGCAGAGGUACUAUGUGAUAGACUCAGUAUUUUUGUUGAUGGUGGUUUCCAAUGCAUUGGAAAUCCGAAAGAGCUAAAAGCAAGAUAUGGGGGUACCUAUGUGCUCACAAUCACAACAUCUCCGGAACAUGAGCAGGAGGUUGAACAACUGGUUCACCGUUUAUCGCCAAAUGCAAACAGGAUAUAUCACAUAUCUGGAACACAGAAAUUUGAGCUGCCAAAGCAGGAGGUGAAGAUAGCAAGCGUCUUCCAUGAAGUUGAGAGUGCAAAAUGCCGUUUUAGCAUACACGCUUGGGGGCUCGCUGACACCACCUUGGAAGAUGUCUUCAUCAAGGUUGCCCAGGGAGCACAAGCCUUUAGUGUGAAUGCUUAA